UCGUAACGGCGGUAAUUCUAGCAUUUUACACAAAUUUAGCAGGAUAUUUUCUCAGAAAGUUUCAUCUUAUUAGGAAGGUACAACCCCUCAUGAACAUAUGUAGAAAGAAUGAUGAUUAAAUCGGUCGGUAAAUAUAAGAAAACAAUUAAUUUACCGCGAAAAUCGGGCGCGAUGUCCUUCGUAAUUUGGUAACGUAGGUGUGAAAUUACGGUGUUUGAGAUAUAAACCAGCCCGCUAGCUUCAGUUUUCGGUGUUAAAAUGACCUGCUAGUUAUUCACGAAUGCGCAGAACAUGUUUUUUGCUGGACUGCGACGACCUACCCCUACAGUGCAACCACAAACGUGAAGAUGUCUUUGUAACGUGGUGCAGCCAUUUUCGCCCGUCAGCGCCCAAAUUGAUUGCUGCAUCCAUUUCAUUCAUGGCUCCUAUACCUCCCUUGAGGAUUCAGCUCCGGCAGAGAUCAAGAGAGCAGGCAAAAUGACCAGUCAUUGAAACCUUCCUGGAAAACAAAGAUCUUUCCAAUCUAAUCACUAUUUUGAAGAAGAUAUAAAGUUGAUCAUUGAUAUCUAUCAAUAUACCUCUUGUAUGAAUACUGUUUUUUAAUUUACUGAUCAAGGGAUAAAAUAUAUUUCAGAUGACAUUUGAUGUAGUCUGUCAUUUUUCAAUGAGUAUAAGAGGAUAGUUACUCUAAUAUCAUACUGAUGUUACUCGGACAUGAUGUCCGUGUAACAUAGGUAACUGGAGGUGUUGAGGUGAAUAUAGACCAUAAAUCUUGCAGGUUUCCUUUCAAUUGUGUUAUCAUCUCAUUAAAUAUGUUUCAUGCAUCAAUUAAUUAGCACAUUUCAUGGAAUGUAGCCAAGAUUUUCUAUGCAAGAGAAAAGAUUACCCUUUAGAAAAAAACAUGAUCUGAAGAUUGCUAGUUCCUCAUUUGUUUCAUGUUUAUAAAUUGAUGUAAUGUUGCUGUGUUCAAGUUUUAAGUAUUCUAAACUAUUGCUCCCAUCAUCUAAAUGUUUUCCACACACAAAAAAGUGGAGUACAGACUGUGACAAAGUUUCAGAUCAGAAAAUAAAUGAGCAAGUAAAAAAA
rnacentral:lncRNA from 1 species